rnacentral:rRNA from 1 species
AACGAACGCUGGCGGCGUGCCUAACACAUGCAAGUCGAACGAGAAAGGGGCUUCGGCCCUGAGUAAAGUGGCGCACGGGUGAGUAACACGUAGGUAACCUGCCUCUAAGAUUGGGAUAACAUGUCGAAAGACGUGCUAAUACCGAAUAAGACCACAGUUUCCUCGGAAACAGGGGUCAAAGGUAGCCUCUAUUUAUAAGCUAUCACUUAGAGAUGGGCCUGCGCACCAUUAGCUAGUUGGUAGGGUAACGGCCUACCAAGGCAAAGAUGGUUAGCUGGUCUGAGAGGAUGAUCAGCCACACUGGAACUGAGACACGGUCCAGACUCCUACGGGUGGCUG